ACACACACACACACACACACACACACACACACAUUUUGACUCAAGAAAAUCACCAUUUAAUCGGGACAAAUAAAUACAGUAAAUGGACAAAAGUAAAAAGAUUCACAAAAUGUUUAGUGGUAUGUGUACCCCCAGAAAAAAGCACUUUUUGUGUUUGUGUUUGUGUGUGUGUGUGUGUUU